rnacentral:rRNA from 1 species
UGAGGAAUAUUGGUCAAUGGAGGCAACUCUGAACCAGCCAUGCCGCGUGAAGGAUGAAGGCGCUAUGCGUUGUAAACUUCUUUUGUACGGGAAGAAACCUCUCUACGUGUAGAGAGCUGACGGUACCGUAAGAAUAAGCAUCGGCUAACUCCGUGCCAGCAGCCGCGGUAAUACGGAGGAUGCAAGCGUUAUCCGGAUUUAUUAGGUUUAAAGGGUGCGCAGGCGGAAAUGUAAGUCAGUGGUGAAAGCCUACAGCUUAACUGUAGAACUGCCAUUGAUACUGCUUUUCUUGAGUAUAGUUGAAGUAGGCGGAAUGUGUAGUGUAGCGGUGAAAUGCAUAGAUAUUACACAGAACACCGAUUGCGAAGGCAGCUUACUAAACUAUUACUGACGCUCAUGCACGAAAGCGUGGGGAGCGAACAGG